CCAUAUAGUAGAAGGGAAACAAUUUCUUCGGUCUCUAACUUUGGAUUGAGGGAGAAAUGAUGAUGAAGAGGUGCAAGGAAUAGAUGAAGUAGUGGUGUUAGAAGGUUUAAAGCCACACCCAAAUCUUAAGAAAAUCAAUGUGAGAUCAUUCAUGGGUGUUAAACUCUAUGAUUGGCUUUUGUCUCUUACAAAUUUAACUUCAAUUAGUAUUAAAAAUGUAGAAGAUGCCAACAUAUCCCACCAUUGGAUAGAUUGCAUGUUUGAAGACUCUGUUUCUUUACCAUCUAGAUGAUUUGGAGUACAUUUAAGACAAAGCAAAUGAGAGUUCAUCCACAUUGCCAGCAACAUUCUUCCCAUCCCUUGAGGAAUUAACCCUUUACGAUUGUCCUGAAUUAAAGGGAUGGUGGAGGAAGCAUGAUUAUAAUGAUACAGAGUUGCCUUCAUUUCCUUGUCUUUCCAAAUUAGAUAACCAGAACUGCCCCAAUUUGAUGUUCAUGCCGCUAUAAACAUCUUUGGAAGAAUUAAAAUUGCUCAAGACCAGCCUGAGAAACCAUUGCAGCGGACAACGAUGAUGACGUCGAAGAAUAAAGGGGAACCAACAACUUCCUCUUGCUUUUCUACCCCUCUCUCCAAUUUAAAGUCGAUGCUUAUGUUUAAAAUUCCUGAAAUAAAAUCUUCCCAGUGGGUGCAAUGCGAAAUCUGACUUCUCUUGUGGAUUUGAAAAUUUUGUCAUGUCCAAACAUUUCUCAGGUGGAUAAGGCAUUAAAGUUUCUCCCAUCUCUACAAAAUUGGAACAUUGCAUCCCAUGAAGAAUGUGAGCAAAAAUGGGAAGCUAUUCAUGGUAUCAAUCUUCGUUAUAUACCUGAUUUCUUUUGAAUUCAAAGGAGAGUUCUUCCUAGACAGGUUAAUAUAUACUUCUCUCCAAAUUCAUCAAUCAAUCAUUCUUAGUGUAUUUAACUUUUUUUUCUUAUAUCUUUUUUAGUAAAUACUUGCCCUUGCCCUUUUAAUGUCUUCUGUUUCAGUUCCCUUUUAUUCUAUUUGCAAUUGUUUUGCUGCUUCAACAAAUCUGCAGAUGCAAGAAUUAUCAACUAUCUGCUGCAGAAUCCAGAGUUCAGACUCCGCCUCCUCAAUCGUUCACACUUCUCGACGCUGCCUCGUCCAGUUCUCCCAUUCAACCGCCGUGAUUUUGAUGCUGUUGGUUGCUUUUCGUGUUACUUCAGUUUUUCGUUGCAUUCCAGUUCCAUGUUUCACGUCUUUGGCAACUUUUGGCGUUUGUUCUAUGUAAAAAAUAAAGAUAAUAAAAGCAAUUUCAUAACACACAUAAAAUUUA